AGACAUAGCCCGGAGAUGGAUUCUGAGACACGAAUCCAGACCCUACGGGGUGCAGCAGGCGCGAAAACUUGGCAAUGCGAGAAAUCGUGACCAGGGAACUCCAAGUGGCUGGGGUAAGACCCAGUCUUUUCUUGACUCUUCAAAGGUCUUGGAAUAAGAGGUGGGUAAGGACGGUGCCAGCCGCCGCGGUAAUACCGGCGCCUCAAGUGGUAGUCGAUUUUAUUGGGCCUAAAACGUCCGUAGCCUGUUUGGUACAUUCGUGGGUAAAUCAACCAGCUUAACUGGUUGAAUUCUGCGAGCACGGCCAGACUUGGGACCGGGAGAGGUGUGGGGUACGCUCAGGGUAGGGGUAAAAUCCUGUCAUCCUGAGCGGACCACCUGUUGCGAAGGCGCCACACUAGAACGGAUCCGACGGUCAGGGACGAAGCCUAGGGGCACGAACCGGAUUAGAUACCCGGGUAGUCCUAGGUGUAAACGCUGUGGACUUGGUGUUGGGGAUUCUCCGAGGAUCUUCAGUGCCGAAGCGAAGGUGAUAAGUCCACUGCCUGGGGAGUACGGUCGCAAGGCUGAAACUUAAAGGAAUUGGCGGGGGAGCACCGCAACCUGAGGAUUGUGCGGUUUAAUUGGACUCAACGCCGGGA
rnacentral:rRNA from 1 species